rnacentral:lncRNA from 1 species
GUGUCAUGUGGUUGUCUUUUCCUUUAAACCAGAACAGGCCGUAUCUUGGAUUUCUAUUCCUUCUUUGUGAAAUAUUUGCACACAAAAUAUUAUGUAUAUCUGUAGGAAGCUAUAAAUAAGGAACACUGUUGGUCACACUGCUUCCAAUAAGCAAAUAAACCAAACCAUAACUAAGAUGAGACUACUUCAUAACCCCCACAGAGGACGUGAAGGAAAGUUCAAUGUCUGUGAAGGUUUGUUCUCCCUCGUGGUCCCAGUAUUUUUGAGCUACAACAGAAUUAUUUCUGGAGUGAGUUUUCAGAAGGAAGCAGUGGCAUGUGCCUGGGCCAGGCAGCCUGUUGCUGUUGAACAGCAAUCUUUCGUGCCAGUGGUGCCGAAACUCUGCUUUGAGGUUCGUGCCCUGAACUGCCUUUUCUCUCCCGGAGUUAAACAAAAGUCAGAGCUGAAUUUAGCCUGUGCUGGUGACGUCGCUGAAGGACACCUGUGCAUAGGACACCCAGGCCUUUUGUGAUGGAUGGUUGUUGAAGAAUCAAGACCUCUUUCUUCACAGCCCCAGAGAUUUUAUGGUACUUCAAGGAAAAGGCAUCUGAAGGAGGAAGCCCAUGCCUUAAGCCUGUGGUUGCGACUGUGUGCCUUCACCUCUGUGCUGUGCUCUGUGGAUGGUGAGACUGAGAGAAGUCGUGGUGCCAGUGGUGGACUGGGGACCUGGACACUGAAGCCAGUGGAUGCAGGCCAGCUGAGGCUAUGACUUAUCCUGAUUAAGCUGCUCUAAAGUCCAAUAGUCUGAACACAGUGAGUGUGAGCAUACCCUUUACUUUUUCAAUAAGUCAGCGAGGAAAGGUUUUGUGCUGUAGAUGAAUUUAUUAAAAAAAAACAAAAACCAUAAUAACGUUAUUCACAAUAUUGCAUUUUCGA